rnacentral:rRNA from 1 species
AGAGUUUGAUCAUGGCUCAGAACGAACGCUGGCGGCGUGGCUAAGACAUGCAAGUCGAACGGACUGGUCAAUUGGGUAACUGAGAGACCAGUUAGUGGCGAAAGGGUGAGGAAUAGACAGGUGACGUACCUCAAGCUUCGGGAUAAUGUCGUGUCCGCAAGAUACUACCGAAAGGGACACUAAUACCGGAUAAUGUGGUCUUCUUAAUUGAGGAUUACCAAAGAUUUAUCGGCGUGAGAGCCGGCCUAUCUCCUAUCAGCUAGUUGGUGAGGUAAUGGCUCACCAAGGCAAUGACGGGUAGCGGGACUGAGAGGUUCCCCCGCCACAUCGGGACUGAGACACNGCCCGGACCUCCACGGAGGCCUGCAGUAACGAAUAUUGGGCAAUGGGCGAAAGCCUGACCCAGCGACGCCGCGUGCGGAGGAAGUCCCUCGGGAUGUAAACCGCUGUCAGGGUGAAGAAAGACCGCAAGUUUGAUCUAACCCAGAGGAAGCAACGGCUAACUUCGUGCCAGCAGCCGCGGUAAUACGAAGGAUGCAAGCGUUGUUCGGAAUCACUGGGCUUAAAGCGUAUGUAGGCGGAUGAGUAAGCGUUUUGUGAAAUCCCCCGGCUUAACCGGAAUUUGCUUGGCGAACUGCUCAUCUUGAGGCAAAUAGGGGUACAUGGAACUCUUGGUGGAGCGGUGGAAUGCGUAGAUAUCAAGAGGAACGCCAGCGGCRAAAGCGGUGUACUGGAUUUGUCCUGACGCUCAGAUACGAAAGCGUGGGGAGCAAACGGGAUUAGAUACCCCGGUAGUCCACGCCCUAAACGAUGCCUACUAGGUUGUAGAAGCUCUGACGCUUUUACGGCCGAAGCAAAAGUGUUAAGUAGGCCGCCUGGGAAGUACGGUCGCAAGGCUAAAACUCAAAGGAAUUGACGGGGGCUCACACAAGCGGUGGAGUAUGUGGAUUAAUUCGAAGCAACGCGCAGAACCUUACCUGGGUUUGACAUGGUUGGAUGCCUAUCUGGAAACAGAGUCGGUUGCCCGCAAGGGUGAAACUUCCACAGGUGCUGCAUGGCUGUCGUCAGCUCGUGUCGUGAGAUGUCGGGUUAAGUCCCUUAACGAGCGAAACCCUUGUCAUUAGUUACCAUUCCCGCAAGGGAGGGACUCUAAUGAGACUGCCGGUGUUAAACCGGAGGAAGGUGGGGAUGACGUCAAGUCCUCAUGGCCUUUAUGCCCAGGGCCUCACACGUACUACAAUGGCGGAUACAAAGCGACGCAAGACCGCAAGGUGGAGCAAAUCGCAUAAAGUUCGCCCCAGUUCAGAUUGCAGGCUGCAAUUCGCCUGCAUAAAGUUGGAAUCGCUAGUAAUCGCGGAUCAGCUACGCCGCGGUGAAUGUGUUCCUGAGCCUUGUACACACCGCCCGUCAAGUCAUGGGAGCCGGGAGUACCGAAGUCGGGUUGCUAACUGCAAAGAAGCGCCUGCCGACGGUAAGCUCGGUGACUGGGACUAAGUCGUAACAAGGUAACC